rnacentral:rRNA from 1 species
AGGGUUCGAUCAUGGCUCAGAUUGAACGCUGGCGGCAGGCCUAACACAUGCAAGUCGAGCGCGAAAGCACUUCGGUGUGAGUAAAGCGGCGGACGGGUGAGUAACGCGUAGGAAUCUACCUAGUAGUGGGGGACAACUCGGGGAAACUCGAGCUAAUACCGCAUACGCCCUACGGGGGAAAGCGGGGGACCUUCGGGCCUCGUGCUAUUAGAUGAGCCUGCGUUGGAUUAGCUAGUUGGUGGGGUAAAGGCCUACCAAGGCAACGAUCCAUAGCUGGUCUGAGAGGAUGAUCAGCCACACCGGGACUGAGACACGGCCCGGACUCCUACGGGAGGCAGCAGUGGGGAAUAUUGCGCAAUGGGCGAAAGCCUGACGCAGCCAUGCCGCGUGUGUGAAGAAGGCCUUCGGGUUGUAAAGCACUUUCAAUUGGGAGGAAAGGUUCACGGUUAAUAACCGUGAGCUGUGACGUUACCUUUAGAAGAAGCACCGGCUAACUCCGUGCCAGCCGCCGCGGUAAUAC